GCUGUGAUUGCCUUGUCGGCAAAUCUAACAGUUUUCAAUUAUGCAUUUAAUAAAUUAAUUGAAUUUCCAUAGUAACAAGAGAAUUUGCUACAUGGUGAGUUUACCCUAGAAUUGCCCUGUUUUAGAGAGGGCCCACGUGUUUGCCAUGCGGUGAAACAUUAGCCAGAUUCCAUUUGACCAAUCUAUAACGGUAGUAGUUUGCAGGCUAGGUAUGUAGCAGUUCGUAAUGUGUGUUAAAGGAUGACAGCACAAGACUAUAUAGUCUCUGAUACAGCAUGAUGGUCUUUCACAGUGCACUGAAAACGCAUGUUUAUACACCAACGAUUAUCACUGUAAUGUCACUUAUGAACGGUCAUCAGUGUUUCAACCUUCUUUCAGCAGUCUGCCGGGUAUGGAGGCUCUUGUGACUAUGGGCUCAAGCAAACCUUGGCAAAUUUUGUGCCCCCCUUAUCACCAGGCCUUCCACACACUCAACUGGUAAAGCCCAGUUACUGGACCUGGAGACCGGAUGUCUGUCUUUACAGUGGCUUGCAGGAGGGCAAGGUUCUUUCAUUUAAAGAUUGACUUGGAUGGAAUCAUGGUCUGUCUACAACCAAGCUAAAAGCUCCAGGUGUGAAGUCAUGAGGUGUUCCUGUACCUGGAAUGUGAUGUCGGUCUUUACAGGGGCUUGCAGGAGGGGAAGGUCCUUUCAUUUCAAGAUUGACUUGGAUGGAAUCAUGGUCUGUCUACGAUCCAAGCUAGAAGCUCCAGUUGUGAAGUCAUGAGGUGUUCCUGUAACUGAUGUCUGUCUUUACAGUGGCUUGCAGGAGGGGAAGGUCCUUUCAUUUUCAAGAUUGACUUGGAUGGAAUCAUGGUCAGUCUACGAUCAAGCUAGAAGCUCCAGUUGUGAAGUCAUGAGGUGUUGCUGUUAUGAAGAUCUACAUUAACUGCACUGGGACCCAACAACCUCCAAGACUCAUAAAUUCGAAA
ensembl:lncRNA